ACUAUUGGGUAGCUAUGUUGGUCCACAUGCCAUGUUCAGCAUCUGACUUAUUAAACUGGAGAAACAAUACACCUGGUUAUAGAGCUGAUCCAGACCAAAUGAAAAGACUGUGUCCAUUUUUGCCACACACACCUCAAAUUUGACAGAUAUUGUCAUUGAUGAAUGUGUUGCUAACUUCAGAGGAAAGACAAAUGGUGUUAGAUAAAGUGAAGCAGGAGGCAGAAUGCUUAAGAGAAGUGUCUCCCCAGGACUCCAUUUAUGCUGUCCCAAGUGCCCCUCAUCCCUGAUGUGGAUCCCAGCUGGGAUCCUAAUGACCCUGGGGAACAUGCUCCUUUAGAGCACUAUAAAACAUACAUUUUGGCUGGCCUUAAGAAUGGGGCCCCUAAAUAAAAAUCUAUGAAUAAAAUAUGGGAGGUGCAGCAGGAGUCUAAUGAGAAUUCCUCUGCUUUCUUAGAAUCUUUGAAGCAUACCACAGGUAUUCUGAUAUAGAUCUGGAAAGUUCAGAGACUACCAGAAUAAUUAACAUGACAUUUAUUAGAGUGCCCCAGACAUUUGGUAUAAAUUACAGAAACUAGAGGGUAGACUUAGAAUGCCCAUGGCAAUGCUUAUAGAUGUUGCUUUCGAGGUUUUCAACAAUCAGGAAGAAGCUCACCAAAAACAGCAGAUGAAGCAACUGACUGCCCUUCUGGCAGCUGUUCUAACUGGGAGCCGGCACAUGGAGGCCAUGUCAGAGACAAAACAAGAGAAACCUAGUAAAGAUAGUGUGCUUACUGCAGGGAGGAAGGACAUUGGAAGAAAACUUGUCCCAAACUGACAAGAAAAAAGAAAAGAAUGAAAUGACAUUAAUGGCCCAUGGAUCUGAGCUAGAAGAUUCUGAUUAGGGGUACCUGAGGGCAUUGGUAGCAUUUUCUUCUGGCAUACCUAUAUGCCACCAAGAACAUCAGGUAAAGAUGAAGGAGGGAAGCAAAUUAGUGGACUAAAGCAGCAAUUAGCCACUGAGAUAAAUGAGCAAAUUAUGAUCAUUGGAAUUAAAUGGCUAAAAUACACUUAAGGUGCUCCUACAACUUUUAGAUUGUAAAAUUGGAAAGGAGUAUUUGCUGUAUCAAUUUCUAUAUGUGCCUGAAUGCUCUAUAAUGUUGCUGGGAAGGGAUUUGCUCACUAAAUGAAAUGCUCAAGUUGUGUUUUCAAAAGGAGAAAUAGCUAUCUGAGUGCCUCCAGACAAAGGACUGCAUCUGCAGGCUGCCCUUUUACAAGCAAGCUGAAGAACCUGAAAAAUAACCAGUCCUGGCUCACAUACUAGAACAUAUUGUCUCUGAGGUAUGGUCAUCUGGCACUCUGGGAAGAGCUGUAACUGCCCAUCCAAUAAACCUUGAGCUCAAGGUGGGAUCAAAUCAACCCAAGGUAUGUCAAAAUCCUUAGCAAGGAAAGACAUUAAACCAGUAAUAGAAACUUUGAAAGAAAGUGGCCUCAUUUGGCCUUGAGAGUCUCCAUAUAACAUGCCUAUACUCCCAGCCUUAAAACCUGGCACUAAUGUAGAAUAUAGAUUUGUCCAAGAUUUAAGGGCUAUAAACAAAAUUGUGACAGGCAUUUAUCCAGUUGUGCCCAGUCCUUACACUUUAUUAACAACUCUGAGAACUUAAAAUGGUUCUCUGUAUUAGACUUAAUGGAUGUCUCCUUUUGCAUACCUGUGGCCCUUGAAUCCCAAGAACUAUUUGCUUUUGAAUGGGAAAAUCCAGUCACUAAAGUUAAGGGGCAACUUACAUGGACUGUUUUACCACAAGGAUUUAAGAAUUCUCCCACACUCUUUGGAGAAUUCUUAGCAAAAGAGUUGCAUGAUUUCCAACUGCAUCAAGGUAUCCUUUUGCAAUAUGUAGAUGACAUUUUAAUAGCCAGCAAAACUGCUGAAGAUUCAGAUGUAAGUACUAUUAAGACUCUGAACUUUCUAAAUGAUAGGGGAUUUAAAGUAUCUCAGAGGAAAGUUCAAAUUACUAAGCCCUGUGUAAAGUAUUUAGGAUAUUUGCUCUCCCAAGGUCAGAGAGCCCUUCUGCCUGAUAGGCACCAAGCCCUGAUGAAUAUUCCAGCCCCUAAGACAAAGAGGCCAUUAUAGGAAUUCCUAGGAAUGACUGGUUUCUGCUGCAUCUGGAUCCCAAAUUUGGGGCUUAUUGCCAAAGUGUUGUACAUCACUGUGCAGGGCUUAGACAGAGAAGCCCUGUAAUGGACUGCAGAGUGUAAUCAGGCCUUUAAUCAAAUUAAAGAAAAGCUGAACACUUCUCCAGUCAUGGGGGUCUGCCUGACAUGUGCAAACCUUUUGAUCUCUUUGUACAUGAAAGGCAGGGAAUAGGGCUUGGUGUUUUCACACAAAACUUUGGGGGACAUCGAUAGCCAUAGCAUAUUUUUCAACGAAACUGGACUUAAUGUCACAGAGAUGGCCACCUUGUCUUUAGGCUGUGGCUGCCACUUGUGAUAUUUUACAAAAAGCUACAAAAUGUACCUUGGGUCAGGAGUUUACAGCACACAAUCCACACAGUGUGCUUUCUCUGCUUCAGCAGAAUGGAGAUUACUGGCUAACUGCUGGCAGGCUGGGAAAAUAUCAAGCUACAUUCUUAGAUAACCCUAAAGUACAACUCUUGAGUUCUACAGUUUUAAAUCCAGCUACAUUGUUACCUGAAUCCAAGGGACCUGCUUUGCAUGACUGCAUUCAGGUGAUUGAGGAAGUGUUCUCUAGUCAACCAGAUUUGGGAAACACCUCUCUAAUGAAAACUGAACUGGAAAUGUUCUUGGAUGGGAGCAGUUUUAUGGACCAUGGACUUUGAUGUUCAGAAUAUACCAUAGUAACCCUGACAGACGUGCUAGAAGCCAAAUCCCUGCCACUGGAUACAUCAGCCCAGAAAGCUGAACUCAUUGCCCUGACUGGAGACUUGAUCAUUGGACAAGGAACUUCAGAUAAAGUAGAAAUUACAUGCAUCUUGGAGACUUUAAUCAACUGGGAAGACUGAAAAAAUGAAUCAUACUCUGAAAAAACUAUUGCUGAGAUAUGUCAAGAAACUAACCUCACCUGGGACAAGAUACAGCCUUACAUCCUGAUGAGACAGGAGAUGAAAUGUUAUUGAAAACAUGGAAGAAUAAACACCUGAAGAUCAACUUACCCUCAAGUUGGAUGAACCUUACAUUGUGUUGCUAAUCACUCAAUCUUCUCUCAAACUGCAAGGGCAUUAAACCUUGGAUUCACCAUUUACAGGUUAAGCCAGCUCCAGAGGAGAAAGAAGUAGAAGAAAACACCACCUUCUCAUGUAAACCUACUGCUGAUUUAAAAUUGCUCUUCCAUAAAUUGCCUAAAACAGCAUAAUGAUUAGGAUUAACAUAUACAUCCUUUGCCUUUUUCUCCUAUUCUAUUUUGUGCAAGGCAAUAUUUUCCUAAAAUGAACUGCAACAGUAGCAGAUAUCCACCAGAGGAAUGAUUGCUGGAUUUGUACUUAUUUACCUACUGCUGGAAGUUCAAGUUUGCCCUGGGCCAUCUUACCUUCCUCAACAUAAAAUUGGUCUGAUUGGUUAAUCCUAAUUUAUCAUACUAUCCCACUUUUCUGUACAUGGUGUGACCUUCCAACACCCAGCCUGAGCCCUAAUAUAAGCCCUUGGGAAAGUCUUCAGUUUAACUUCAAAGCAUCCCAGGAAAAUUACAUCCUGUCUAAGUUAGAAAACUAGUUCUUAUCACCUCCUGUAUACCUCAGUUUGGGAUUGGAAAAGGUGUCUAUUAGCAAAAAACAGGGUGCUACGUGGUAAUGCCUCCCUUUGUGUAGAACAAAGAAACACUUCUGCCCAACCUAACUUUGUAGGAGAUAUCCUCCAUUCAAAGUAGGAUAAAAUCAUCUAUCCUUGGAAAGAUAAAUGGUGCAGCAUGAAGCCAUUAAAGCCUUGGAAUCUAAUCCCACAUGUAGCCUCUGUAGGAAAAGAGUUACUCAUCUAUUUACCCCCAGCUGGAGACAGGUAGCUCUGCAGGUCUAACUUCUGGCCAUAUUUGCCAUAUAAUUGGAUAGGGAGAUGCACUAUUGGAUACCUCUUUUUGCCUGGGCAAAUAUUUAAAAGCCUACCUGAAAUACCAAGUAAUGUAAAGACAUUAAAGGCCCAUUUAAGUUUGCGUAAGAAAGCCUUAUACUCUGGCAGCACCUAGAGAGCCUGUGGUGGUGGGAAUGGCCUUUAGCUAUCUUCCUCCCAGGAGGAGGUGCAUUAAAUGCUCUUUCAUGAGUUACUGCCCUGGCUAAGGUCACACAGCUCAGUUUAUGCAAAACACCAAGCAAGGGCUCAGUCCCAAGUGAAGAGGUUGCUCAAAUGAGAAAGUUCUUCAAAAUGGAGUUGUUUUAAAUCUACUGACAGCAGCUCAAGGAGGGACCUGUGCUCUCAUUGGCAUUGUGUUGCACCUAUAUAUCAUAUGAAUAUGAUAAUAUCUCUUCAAUCUUAAAUCAUAUGCAGGAUGAUGUUGAUAGUGUUAAAGAUAUAGUAUACUGGACUCAUUUUCUGAGUGGUUAAUGAACUUACCUAUGAAAUGGAGAGUACCCUUUAUUAGAAUGACUUUGAUUCUGCUUGUCUUAUGCUUGUUUUGUUGCCUGUAUUGUAUCUGUGGGUUUAUUUCCAGAGAAUCUUCCAGAUUAAUAUAAGAACCUCUUUGCCCUUGCUCAGCAGGAAGCAUUUACCCAAGCUAGACCUUGCCCACUUUCCCUUUCAUAAGAGAUGCUCAUAAGAUACUGUUUUGCAAGAAUAAGAAAGUGUCUCAUAAAGGGGGAUUUAAUAGUUGGAUAAGUAGAAAAUAUUCAAUAUAAUUCUUUAGCUGGAAAAUGCUUAGUAUAGUCUUCAAUAGCCAAUAGGAAAAAAAAACCUGUUUAUUAAGAUCACUUCAUUCAAGCAGCCUUGAGUUUUUCUGACCAUGAAAAGACCUUGUUAAAAUAAUUUGCUGCUGCUCUAAUCUCAAUGACAACAAAAACUUGCUCUCUGCUCCCAAAAACUUGCCUAGUGUUGCCUACUGGAGGAAACCACCAUAUGGUUUGAUACAGCACUGGCUUUUUGAAAGACAAACUGAAUGAGGGUAGGACUUUAAAAUUACAAGGAAAUGCUGACAGAACAGCUUUCUCUCCUCUAUUAUUUUUUUCUUUUCUGCUUUUUUCUGGCUUCUGGCCGUAUCUUUGCUUGGGGUUAUGAAAGCCAAAGCAAUUCUUCUCACUCUGAACUGGACUUGAAAGGAUUUUAUUUCUUCCAGUUCCUUGUUGAUGUUUCUUAAAUAAACUCAUUCUCAUCAAAGCAAAGAAACUUGUUUCUCUGGUGCAGGAUCAGGUGAGCCUGACUAUCUGGGAUCAUGUCUUCUAAUGGUAACAUUAGCAUCUUAGUUUUACAAAAGUAAUACUUACCUCACAGAACUCUGGAAAGGGUCCUGGGGACUAGCAACUACACUUUGAUAUUUAUUGGUUAUUCUGAGAAUAUUUUCCCUGUAGGUGAUUUUUAACUAUUUUCACUUUAGUGGGCUCUCUUUCAUAAAACUUACUAAAACACACAUGCACACACAAUGUGAUACAAAGUGA